GACGAACGCUGGCGGCGUGCCUAAUACAUGCAAGUAGAACGCUGAAGGAGGAGCUUGCUUCUCUGGAUGAGUUGCGAACGGGUGAGUAACGCGUAGGUAAACUGCAUGGUAGCGGGGGAUAACUCUUGGAAACGAUAGCUAAUACAGCAUAACAGUAGAUAUCGCAUGAUAUCUACUAGUAAGGUGCAAUUGUAUCACUACUAGAUGGACCUUCGUUGUAUUAGCUAGUUGGUGAGGUAAUGGCUCACCAAGGAGACGAUACAUAGCCGACCUGAGAGGGGGAUCGGCCACACUGGGACUGAGACACGGGCCAGACUCCUUCGGGAGGCAGCAGUAGGGAAUCUUCGGCAAUGGACGGAAGGCUGACCGAGCAACGCCGCGUGAGGGAAGAAGGUUUUCGGAUCGUAAAGCUCUGUUUUAAGAGAAGAACGAAUGUUGUAGUGGAAAGUUCACACUGUGACGGUAUCUAACCAGAAAGGGACGGCUAACUACGUG
rnacentral:rRNA from 1 species